rnacentral:rRNA from 1 species
UGCGGUUAUACAAAAAUUAAAUUAAUUUUUUUUGGGAUUUAAUAAAUAAAAUGUUAUAUAUAACUUAAAUUUUAAAUUAUAAAGUGAAAUUUUAAUUUAGUUAAAAUUUAUUUAUUUUUAUGAUAUUAAUAAAUUUUAUAAAAAACUAGGAUUAGAUACCCUAUUAUAAAAAUUUAAAUUUAAUAAAUCUUAAAAUAGUAUAUAAUUUUUUAUAGAAACUUAAAUAAUUUGGCGGUAUUUUAGUUCAUUUAGAGGAAUCUGUCUAAUAAUUGAUAAUCCACGAUUAAAUUUACUUAAUUUUAUAAUUUUGUAUAUCGUUGUUAAAAAAAUAUUUUUUAAUAAAUAUAAUAUUUUAAAAUUUAUAUAAAAAAUUAAAUCAGAUCAAGAUGCAGAUUAUAAUUAAGAAUAUGAUGGAUUACAAUAAAUUUUAUUUUAUUUGGAUAUUAAUUUGAAAGAAAUUAAUUGAAAUUGGAUUUAAAUGUAAUUUUAUUAAUUUUUUUAAAAUGAUUUUAAAUUAAAAUAUGUACAUAUUGCCCGUCGCUUUCAUUAAUAAAUUGAAAUAAGUCGUAACAAAGUAGAGGUACUGGAAAGUGUUUCUAGAAAGAU